AUUGAACGCUGGCGGAAUGCUUUACACAUGCAAGUCGAACGGCAGCACGGACUUCGGUCUGGUGGCGAGUGGCGAACGGGCGAGUAAUGUAUCGGAACGUGCCCAGUCGUGGGGGAUAACGUAGUGAAAAUUACGCUAAUACCGCAUACGAUCUAUGGAUGAAAGCGGGGGAUCGCAAGACCUCGCGCGAUUGGAGCGGCCGAUAUCAGAUCAGGUAGUUGGUGGGGUAAAGGCCCACCAAGCCAACGAUCUGUAGCUGGUCUGAGAGGACGACCAGCCACACUGGAACUGAGACACUGUCCAGACACCUACGGGAGGCAGCAGUGGGGAAUUUUGGACAAUGGGCGAAAGCCUGAUCCAGCCAUUCCGCGUGCAGGAUGAAGGCCCUCGGGUUGUAAACUGCUUUUGUACAGAACGAAAAGGUUUCUACUAAUACUAGGAGCUCAUGACGGUACUGUAAGAAUAAGCACCGGCUAACUACGUGCCAGCCGCCGCCGUAA
rnacentral:rRNA from 1 species